GGGGACUUAGCUCAGUGGUAGAGCGCUUGCCUAGCAAGUGCAAGGCCCUGGGUUCAGUCCCCA
rfam:Rattus norvegicus chromosome 2, whole genome shotgun sequence.